UUUCUAGAUCCAAUCAAAGCAUUAUAGCAUGUAAUUAUUUUGUACAGUAAUGCUCUGCUGUGCGUCACGAGUUUUUGCAAUGUUUGAUUGAAAAUAAAUUAGGCAAGUCUAUUUUUGGCAAGCAAGAUACACAAGAUCCUCGAAUCUUCUAUAAGCAGCGUUACAUAGCAAGAAUUGAAUGAAGCCAAUAUAAGAGGUGCUCUUUCAGCUAUUACCAAGCGUACCUUUUGGUUACGUUCUCAUCUUUUGGUACUAUACAAGAUAUAAUAGUAUUUAAGGACAAAGGUUACGCUUUCAUCAAGUUUUAUCGGUGUUGGAUCUAAUGCAAAUCAACAAGCUUAACAGAGUAUAUAUUCAUUUCGUUUAAGCAAACCAUCUGCGCAAAGAUCGGCACGAUUUUCUCGUUUACUAUAUAUAUCGGUAUGACAUAUAGAUCUAUAGGAGCGGACCUUAAACCCGAUGUUAAAGACAAUCAUCCUGCUCACGUCCUGCUGUAGGCGGGAAUGUUGCGUCGCCGUCGAUGAUCUCAAAUGAACGGUUACUUAUUCAGCGCCAAAAGUUUUCAUCGUUUUAAUUAGUGUAAACACACGGCCAUCAAUAAAAAAUAAAGAUAAAGAAAAAA